CUCUCUCUCUCUCUCUCUCUGUGUAUGUUGUUGGUGGUGUCGAUCUUGGGUAAGAGGCAAACUCCUCUAAAAGGCUGGUUUGUUUUCUCCUAGCUGCACUGAUCGUAUUUGCAUGAGCCUCAACCAUCUCUCCAACGCACAGGCCUGUCUAUGUGUGUGUUUUUGUGUGUGUGUGUGUGUGUGUGUUCGUGUGUGUCUCCAUGUGAGUUUGCCUGUGGUAAUGAGUAGCUGGUGGUUUUAUUAGGGCAAGGUUUCGUAAGUUUCUCCAAAGGCUAGUGUGAUUGUGUUCAGCAGGUCUGUGUAUGUCUUGUGAGUGUGUAAGGCUAGUGUGAUUGUGUUCAGCAGUUCUGUGUAUGUCUUGUGAGUGUGUAAGGCUAGUGUGAUUGUGUUCAGCAGUUCUGUGUAUCUCUCUUGUGAGUGUGUAAAGGUGGAGUAGCUGAUGGGACCUCAAAUCCAGUUUUGCACUUAAGACCAGAAAGUUCCUCUCCUCUCCUCUCCUCUCCUCUCCUCUCGUUCAUUCAAGGCUCUCUUCCUCUUUUUUUUUCUCCCCCCCUCUUCUC
ensembl:lncRNA